rnacentral:rRNA from 1 species
GCCCGGACAGGGGUACGCCGGCCGGUGGAUGCCUCGGCUUGGGCGCCGACGAAGGACGUGGCAAGCUGCGAUAAGCCCCGGGUACCCGCAGGCAGGGGUAGAUCCGGGGAUCUCCUAAUGGGACAUCCUGCGGCAGGCUUCGGCCUGCCGCGGUCCCGGCCUGAGCCGGGAUCGGGAACCCCCCGAACGGAAGCAUCCAAGUAGGGGGAGGAAAAGAAAUCAAACGAGAUUCCCCUAGUAGGGGCGACCGAACGGGGAGGAGCCCAAACCGAACCCCCUGGGGAAACUCAGGGGGAAUGUGGGGUUAAGGGCCGGGGGUCCACCCUGAAGCCCGAGCCGAACUCCCCUGGAAUGGGGGGCCAAAGAGGGUGAUAGCCCCGUAGGCGAAGGGCGGAUGGGUGAUGCCCCGGAUCCCAGAGUACCGCACCUCGGAUAUGGUGCGGGAAGUUGGGGGCCACUGGCCUCCAAGGCUAAAUACGUCCCAAGACCGAUAGUGGACCAGUAGCGUGAGCGAAAGGUGAAAAGUACCCCGGGAGGGGGGUGAAAAGCGCCUGAAACCGGCCGGUAACAGACGAGGGCGGCCCGAAAGGGAAAUCCCCGUCAAGGCCCCGAAAGGGGCCGCGCGGGGACAAUCCCAGGGUCGCCCGCUCCGUCUUGAAACACGGGCCGGGGAGUUCACGGGUGUGGCGAGUCUAAGGGCUGAAAGCCCGGAGGCGUAGGGAAACCGAGCGCCCGCAGCCGGAGGGAGCUCCGGCGAGGGGCGGGGUCCGAAAGGGCCUGUAGCCACGCCCGUGAGGCUAGAAACCGGGCGAUCUAGCCCUGGGCAGGGUGAAGCCGGGGGAAACCCCGGUCGAGGCCCGAAUAGGGGUCCUGACGUGCAAUUCGGUCCCCUGACCUGGGGCUAGGAGUCAAAAGCUAACCGAGCCCGGUGAUAGCUAGUUCCCCCCGAAGUGUCUCGCAGGACAGCCCCGGGGGAGGUUGCCUGCGGGGUAGGGCACUGAUAGGGGAGAAAGGGGCCGAUGAGGCCCCGCUCUCCUUUCAAACUACGAACCCGCAGGCGCCGUAGAUCCCGGGAGUGGGGUACUGGGGGUAAGCUCCAGGACCGAGAGGGGAACAACCCAGACCGCGGGUUAAGGCCCCUAAGUGCCCGCUAAGUGACAAACCGAAGGGCGUCCCCGUCCUGAGACAGCGGGGCCGUAGGCUUAGAAGCAGCCAUCGGCUAAGAAGUGCGUAACAGCUUACCCGCCGAGGACGGGGGCCCCGAAAAUUGACGGGUCUAAGCGGGCCGCCGAAACCCGGGCUCACCCGUGCCUUGCACGGGUGGGGGUAGGGGGGCGUGGCGGCUGGGCAGAAGCGGGGCCGUGAGGUCCCGUGGACCGGCCGCCAAUGCAGAUCCCGGUGGUAGUAGACAGCGAAGAGGGGUGGAAAUCCCCUCCGCCGGAAGGGCACGGGUUUCCCGGCAAUGCGUCGUCAGCCGGGAGUAAGCCGGUCCUAAGGCCGACCUUAACCGGGUAGGCCGAAGGGGAAGCCGGUUAACAUUCCGGCGCCCCGCGGGUAGGUGCGGCGACGCAAGCCGGGCCCCUGACGCUUCGGGGUAGGCCGAGCAGGGCCGUAGCCCUGCCCAAGCGCUGAAGCCUGGGGAGUGCCGUAACGGCGAGAACCAGGUGAAGGCGUGAUGGGGCGGCGUAUGCCGCUUCGGCCGAUCCCUGGAGCCAGUGAAAAGGGGGUCCGGAACGAUCCCGCGGGACCGUACCUAGAUCCGACACUGGUGCCCCUGGCUGAGAAGGCCAAGGCGUCUGGGGUGACUCCGGGCCAGGGAACUCGGCAAAUUGGCCCCGUAACCUCGGGAGAAGGGGUGCCUGCCUUCCUCUCCGACGAGGAGGGGUUGGCAGGUCGCAGUGACAAGGGGGUCCCGACUGUUUAAUAAAAACAUAGGAAGCCGCAAGGCCGAAAGGCUUUGAACGGCUUCUGAAUCCUGGCCAGCACCGGUACCUGAAACCCGGGUCCAACCGGGAUAAGGGCCGGCUAGCGCCGGGGGUAACCCUGACCCUCGGGUUAAGGGGGUCGUUAAACGUGGCUGUAUGCGGGGAAGGCUGGAGGUCACGGGCACCGCUUAAGCGGUAACAGUCCCGUGGCCGGUGAGGCCGACCCGCAGGAAACCGCCCCAUGAGGUGCCGAAUCUUCUAAUAACUGGACGGCUGCAGACGAUUCAGUGAACCUCGCUUACAUCAUCGGCGUGAUGCUGGGCGACGGAGGGGUUUACGGUAAUUAUUACACGGUCUUCUGCAGGGAUCCUAACCUCGAGUUCGUUGAGUUCAUCGCGCGGACGGUCGAGGAGCUCUUCGGGAUAAAGCCAAACGUAAGGCGGGCCAGCACGAAGUACUACUUGGUCUCGACGAACGUCCGAUGGGUCCACGAUUUCUUCCUCAGGAUCGGCUUUCCGAAGGGCAGGAAGCUGACUAACGCCUCGAUCCCUCCACUCUACAGGAACGAUCUGGACGUCGUCAAGGGCCUCUUCGACAGCGAGGGUUACUGCGGCAUCGACUAUCAGCGCCACGGCGAGAAGACGUACGCCUACCCCUAUGUAGGGAUUGACAUGAUAGCGAGGCCGGUGAUAAGGCAGGCAAUGGACCUUCUGAGAAAGCACGGAAUACAGUGCUCGCAUCAGAGGAAGACGCCCAGGGCGUGGGGUAAGCACUACCAGUGGAGGCUGGUCGUCAAGGGAUGGGAGAACGUCAAGCUUUUCUCGGAACUGAUCGGAUUCAGACAUCCGGAGAGGUCGAGGAGGUUGCUGGAGAUCCUAACCGAGGGCGGGAUCCUCAGAGACCAUACGCCACGCGCCCCAGCUGGCACGGAAGGAUGUCAGCUGGGGUGAUGAUAUGGUCCAACCCCGACCAUCAGGUCGGGCAUGCUUAAGGUAGCCAAAUGCCUUGUCGGGUGAGUUCCGACGCGCAUGAAUGGAUCAACGAGGGCCCCACUGUCCCGGCCCGGAGCCCCGUGAACCCA